GGCCCAUAGCUCGGUGGUAGAACAUCUGCUUUAAAUGCAGAAAAUCCAGGUUCAAUGCCCAGAAUCUCCAGGUAGGGCUG